CCAUCUGUUGCUCUAACUGGCGGCACCGCUCUUCAAGUCUUCUUAUUGUCGCUUGUUGAUUUUUCAGAUGAGUUGCUUCCAUGCGAAAUUCUUCAAGUUCAACCUUCAUUUUUCGGUUCUCAGACUCUAAUUCUGAUAGCUUUGAAUCCUUUUCAGCAAUUGAAGCAAUGACUGGAUAAGGAUCUGGUGCCUCAUAUAGUUUUUGAUAAAUGUUAAGGAAAGCAUUUUCCCCAUACUUAGCUCUCUUGGUAAGAUUGUCAACCUCUUCUUGGUACCCCUUGAGCAAAGAGUUGAACAAGCUCAACUUGUCUUCACUUGAAGCUUUUUUAAAAUCUCGAGUGCUCUCUGCAAGUUUUCGUCGGUUCUUCUGACUGUUCUCCUGAUUCUCAGCAAUCCUAAGACCUUGCUCAUCUAGUGUACUCCUUUCUUUCUCCAAAUCAAAGUCUUUCCAGAAGCUGGCGACGGCAGCGAGGGGAGUAGAUGAAGACGUUGAGUUCGCCUUGUCUCUCUCCGGUCCUCCUCGCGGGGAAUCCAUUGCUGAUCCACCACAAAUUCAGCUUUUGCUCCGACAAAAACUUCAAUCUGUCUAUUUCUCCACUUAAUGCGAAGAAAUUGUUACGAAACGAUAGUUCUACUGGUUUUGAUAGAUCACAGAUCUCGAGCUUUGUGGUUCCUUUGAAAUUAAUUUUGUUGCAGCAUAGGAUGAAAGAGAGACGUGAGUUCGAUGGAGAAACAAAUCCGGG
rnacentral:misc_RNA from 1 species